rnacentral:lncRNA from 1 species
GCUUGAGUCACAUUUUUGCAUGGUUCUUGAUUGACUUUCUGGUGCUCUGCCUGGAGGUCUUUGCUUAUCUGUGAGUUGCCUGAGUCACAUUUUUACAUGGUUCUGGUGCUCUGCCUGCAGGUCAAGAAGGAGCCAGUAUCUCCAGGAGGAGUGAGAGAGUGCUCUGCCAGUGUGAAGUGUGAAUCCUUGAGAGGCUGUGGCAAGGGUCCAUGCCUGAAUGUGUAGAACAAGAACAGCUGGAGGCUGUGGCUUUCUCCAGGAAGAGGUUUCUAAAUCUGCCUCUUAGAAGAUAUCAGAAAGUUAAAGAUAUCAGGUGGCUUCUUCAAAUGAUUUUUAAGUAUCUCGAUGAUGAUGAAGAACAAAGACAUCAAUCAGGAUUCAGGAAGACAGCUUUUGCGGAAAAUGCUUAAAGGGAAGCAUCAAGGAUUGGUGUUGAUAUUUGAAAGUUUAAGAGUGGUAUACUUUUAUUCAGUCAACACAUGACAAAUGUAAAAGGCACUCAUUUGUUGUUCCUGGAAGAAGCCUGGCAGCAUUCCAUUCAGACAUCUGCCCUUUCAUCGUCCCACUUUUUACUUAUUGCAGUCCUUUCAGUCUGAAUAUUUCCUCCUGACGCAUCUUCUGCCGUCCGAAAUGACUCCCUGCUCCCAGAUCCUGUAGCCCUUAUUAUUGACACCUUUCAUUUAGAAAUUUAGCACAUGUCACAUUACACCAUUAUUGAAUAAAUAAUGAAUAAAUAAAUAAAUAAAGAUGUAUGUCCUUCCCAAGUAUAUCAGAGAACUAUCUGGACAAUUUCUUUCUUUCCCAAUUCUCAGAAUCAGCAGUAUUCUGUCAAGAAACAUUUAUCGACGAUGAUGGCAAUAGUCGAUUAAAAUCAGAUGAAGUUUUAUUUUUAAAAAAAGGUUGAGCGGAGAGACAAGGCUGAAGGUUUGGAAGUUGAGACAACCAUCUUCAAUAAACGUUUUCUCAUCUAAGGGCUGUAUGUACAUCAUUUUGGGGAAGGUAGAGAUUGAAGGAGGAAGAACAUCACUGGAGGAAGAGACAGCAGUUUGUCUUUCGAGUUUCAAUAAAGUUUCAAAAAUCUU